CUCCUGCUUUAUAGUUGCCUCGUCCCUUGGAUUCGAGAUUUCCUUGAAAAAAUUGAUUGUUUUGACGAUUGCGUCAUCUCAUUUUGUUUGGCACGUUUACCCUCUCUCGCUCUGAAAUUUACAGUUGGUAAACGGUUAGCAUGAGUUUUCUGCAUCUUGUAUUUGAAAAGUGAUCUGUUGUUUUUUUAAAGUACAAGGUUUUUUUUGUGACUGGAAAACUCAUCGCCCUUGCAGUACUUUCAACUUUUCUGUGAAUUCUGUACGUGAAAGCAUCUCUUCUUUUAGAGUUGAAAGAAACUUGAAUUCGGGACAACAUGUUCUGAAAAAGCUCUUGAAAAAUAGAUGUGCGAACAGAGAAUGGAGGGUUUCAGUCGGUUUAAAAUAUUCUGGGUCAACCCUGUUCUUUUUAUUGAGAAAAGCUUCUAAAUUCUAUGUGACUGGAAUAACUGGACGUCCUGUGGUUUUUCCUUUUCAAAAGUGGAAGGCUGCUCUCUUGAUGCUUUUGCACUCAAUUGAUAUGGUUGAACUGGUGCCUCAUCAUGGAUUACAUUUGGUAUUUUUUGAAUACCAAUUUGAGCUUGGAAAAUGAUCUCAUGUGAACUAUUUGUUCAGUCCCUGCUGAACUGUUUUUGCGCAAUGCAGUCCCGUAAAAGAUUGAGCCUUGUUUCGAUGGUUGAAAAGUCAAGUUUUUUGCAUUGUUUGUAGACCCAGAGGAUUAUUGGAUGCCCCUGCAGCAGUUCCGCUGGAAUUAUAUUUUGGUCUCUGCUUGUCUCGGACUUUGAUUUGGUGGCUUGCGAGAAAAAUUAUGAUUCAGUUUCUGCUUCUCCUCUUUGCAUGCAUAAAACCAGAACUUUUUAAUUGGGAUGGUAUUGGAUGAUUUUCAACAACUGAUGUAGACGCAAGCAAGCACUUGAGAUUUCUGUAACAAAAUUCUCCUGCUCUAUAGUUGCCUUGUCCCUGGGAUUCGAGAUUUCCUUGAAAAAAUUGGUUGUUUUGACGACUGUGUCAUCACAUUUU